GGGGGCGAUUUGGCUUCGACGGGGGUAAGGCUGGUCCGAUAAGCGAGCUAGGGAACGCAUGGAACCCUAUGAAUCUCUAUGCAUUAAAUGUAAACGCAGAAGAUAAUAAUUUUGCAUUAGCUGCCUAGGCAGCUCGUUCUACCUGAGAGUCCCACGACUUAGGAUAGGGCGUCGAUUAGUGGGGAACCGAGCUUAUGAAAGCUUUGACUUAAGAACGGAAUUUAUGAAGCUACUAAAGUAAGUAUCCUGCCUCUGGGAGACUUAUGGAGGGAAUGUUAAAUCAGCAGGCUGUGCUCGGAGAAAGUUGGGUGGGCCUACCUUCGGACACGGGUUCGAUACCCGUCACCUCCACCA
rnacentral:tmRNA from 1 species